AAUAGAUACCCCCGGUAGUCCACGCCGUAAACGAUGGAUACUAGCUGUUUGAGCGCAAGUUUGAGUGGCUAAGCGAAAGUGAUAAGUAUCCCACCUGGGGAGUACGGGCGCAAGCCUGAAACUCAAAGGAAUUGACGGGGGCCCGCACAAGCGGUGGAGCAUGUGGUUUAAUUCGAUGAUACGCGAGGAGCCUUACCAGGGCUUAAAUGUAGAUUGACGUAUUUGGAAACAGAUAUUUCUUCGGACAAUUUACAAGGUGCUGCAUGGUUGUCGUCAGCUCGUGCCGUGAGGUGUCAGGUUAAGUCCUAUAACGAGCGCAACCCCUGUUGUUAGUUGCCAGCGAGUAAUGUCGGGAACUCUAGCAAGACUGCCAGUGUAAACUGUGAGGAAGGUGGGGAUGACGUCAAAUCAUCACGGGCCCUUACGUCCUGGGCCACACACGUGCUACAAUGGCCGGUACAGAGAGCAGCCACUUAGCGAUAAGGAGCGAAUCUAUAAAAGCCGGUCACAGUUCGGAUCGGAGU
rnacentral:rRNA from 1 species